CACGAAGAGGCCUCCAUCGGUCUUUCAACCUUGCCUAUCGUACCCUUUUUGUUGUUCCCUCGGCGGGGUAAAGCCCGCCGGCUGGAAGCUCGAAAAACCCUUUGCAAUCAGCAUCCAAAAACUCUGAUUACAAAACCUUAAAUCGUUA
rnacentral:misc_RNA from 1 species